rnacentral:rRNA from 1 species
GAUGAACGCUGGCGGCGUGCCUAAUACGUGCAAGUCGAGCGGUAACACUUCGGGUGACGAGCGGCGGACGGCUGAGUAACACGUAGGAACGUACCCCAAACUGAGGAAUAAGCACCGGAAACGGUGUCUAAUACCGCAUGUGGUCUUCGGAUUAAAGCUUCGGCGGUUUGGGAACGGCCUGCGCAUGAUUAGCUUGUUGGUGAGGUAAUAGCUCACCAAGGCGACGAUCAUUAGCGGGUCUAAGAGGAUGAUCAGCCAGACUGGGACUGAGAACGGCCCAGACUCCUACGGGAGGCAGCAGUAGGGAAUCUUCCACAAUGGGCGAAAGCCUGAUGGAGCAACGCCGCGUGCAGGACGAAGGCCUUCGGGUCGUAAACUGCUUUUAUUGGUGACGAUUAUGACGGUAGCCAAUGAAUAAGGAUCGGCUAACUCCGUGCCAGCCGCCGCAGUAA